GCUCAGUGUAACCCCCUUGCCAUUGGCUGCGAAGAGCAGUGAUUACUGACGCAUUUAAAUGGUUUGUGUCUAACACCUCAGAACGUGUACGUGCAUGCAUGUAAGAAGGAAAAGUAAGUCAAGCACUUGGAAGCCUGAGAGAGUGACACGUAAAUAAUCCAAGGAAAAAAAUGAAGCAAAGGAGAGCAUUUGAAAAAUAAUGUGUUUUGUGUAGUAUUCUUGCAAAAAAACUUGCAAAUGUGUUACUUAAAAAUUAUGGGAAUUCCAUAGUCUGCUGCGAGUGCCCAGUUUUAAAGAUCACUAGAGUUUAAAAAAACUAUUUUACAGCUGUUUUAGAUACAGAUGUCAACACAAGCUUAAACAGGUAGUUAUAACCAACAUUAUAAUAAUUCACUCCCACAGGAUCUAUCAAGAUGGCAUAGCUGGCCAUUAUCUUAAUCCUGGCAGAUCAGCCUGAUGAAUACUGGGUGUUUGAUUUCCUACAACUCUGUCAGCACUUCUGGUUAGUAGAUUAAAACUGCUAGAUAAUGCACUAAUUGCAUGUAAGCCAAAAAGAAAAAAGUUUGCUGGAGCUUCAAGUCCCUCAUGCAGAAAGCUGGAAUACUUCCCCAAAUAGAAAUUCUAUAAACAAGAAAAUGGCAAUUUGAUAGGUUUAGACUUUUUAAGAAGUUUAUCCAAUAGUUACCCAUGGCAAAGUACUGAAGAAGCAUCUACUGUUUCCAAUCUGGUAUUUUUUGAAUUCAUUUUGCUGCUUUUGGAGAUCACAAUCCUUUCUAAAGAUUUCUCCUGUAGAAGAGAACGUAGUAAAUGGCAACAUUUCACCAGGUUUGUGGGUAUGUAGGAAAACUGGUGUUUCUUGGGGCAGGAGGAGGGUCCUCUUUGUAAGAGGUAAUGCUGAUAUCUCUGUUGGUGGCAAUUACACACAGCUUGGGGUACCUUGGUAAAACAUCCCUUUAUGUGCUAAAGAAGAGAGAGUUUCAACAUUCAUCCAACACUCAUUUCUAGCCAUUUCAGAAUAUGCUACCUUGUGUUUUCAUUUUAUUUAUUGACUUCCUGUUAUUUUAUAGUAAGGUGUAUUUGCACUCUAGUGGAAAAAUUUCUCUAUAAUAAAUAGAACUUGGUACAGCAAAUAAUUUUACUUCUUUUUCUUCUUGCAGGUCGCCCACUGAGAUCUAAGCAUUUUCUCUUUGUUAAAAAUACUCUAUUCUACUCUACUCUAGGAAUAAGAGCCCCACCUUGCCCUUCAGGAAUCCAGAGAGCUUCCCAAGAACGAUCCCUCGCUCUGGCCUAGAUUUCGGCCUCUUCUAUAGCAUUUUACAGUAGAAGCUUGUCGGAGCCAAUCUUGUCUGGUGCACAGAGUUUGACUGAACGAAGAAAUGAAACUCUUGGAUGAAGUCUGGACUUAAGUUACACCUUUUAUUACAGUAGCUCUUUUGCUUGGUCUACACAGUUCAGCAAGUUUGGUGCUCUACCCAACACAGACAGACACCAAAGGCUCUCUGUGUUCCCUACAGCAGGAGACAGAGAACAAAAUCAAAAGCGUCGUUUCAGUUACCGUACAAGAUGACAGGGUAGAAUUAGCUAAGAUAAUAUUUUCCUUUGUCUAUAUUUCCAAUUUGAUCAUGUUUUCCUCCUUCUUGGGAACGUAUUUUAUUUCUAAGUUUGUGUGGGAUCAUUUAUGAGAGAGAAGGUACAAGAUGGUUACCUUUGGCAAGAAAGGGUUUGGCUAAACGGUUCAAGCCCUAUUCUUUUAUUUCACCGGCAAACUUUUAAAUGCAUCUGAAAAGAAAUGACAACAUUCAGUGUGACAGCAGGAUUGUAUCUGUCAGCUGACAAUGCAUCUGGACAAUUCGACUUCAAAUACCAAUGCACAGCUCUAGUGCCAGUAUGGGAUUCAGAAGACCUGUCCUGUCCUCAGUUUCCUUCUUCACAAAUACUUCAUGGUAACUUCUGAUAAGUCCCUUUGUGCCUUAUUCUUCUACAAAAUUAGUGUGAAAACAUUUUUGCCUUAUACAGAUAAAUACACAUAACAUGUAUUCCAGAAAGAAGUGCAAGGACCCAGCAAAUGUCAUAGGAAGUCGUCUCCUCGGAAUCAGAGUCACUGAAAAGGAGUUGGAAACUAACAGACCACAAUCCCUACCUCUCCGACAGGGUGACUAGAAUAGGGAAUCUAACUCUUGAUUGCCCAAGCAAGUAAAUGCUGAGAAAGAAUAGAGAGGUUUAUACUUCUUCUGUGUCUGGCAAAAGCAAAAUUGAAUGUUGUCCAUAGGGUUUGUGUCUUGAAUCCAAAAAGAGUGAUGAAAAAUUGAAGUCAUUUCAUAGAAUAGACAUGAGACAUGAUUAAAGGAUUAGGAUAGCCCCCUAAUGCGGGGCUCAAGGAGUUCCACCUAUUUAGCUUAUCAAAGAGAAAGUUGAUAGGGGUACUUUACGUACCUUUCUAUGCAGUAAAAAUCCAUUUAAAAAUACAUGGCUUAGCUCUAGCAGACAAAAAUUCAAGACCUGCAAUCUUAAUUUAUAGUUACCCAUAGUGAACCAUUGAGAGGUUUACCAAGAAUUAUGGUAACUUUUCUGUUGAUAUUUGUACCAAGAUGUGAUGUUUCCCCCUUAAAAUGACAGAAUUUAGCUCAGACAGGGACUAAGUUCCAGGAAAUCUGUUCUCCAUUACACAGGAAGUCAGACUAGGAGAUCACAGAGCUCACUUUAGGCUUUCUAAUCUGUUAAUUAAAUAGUUUAUAUAAAUUUAGUUUAAUUGGUUCUAUGAUUGUUAAUAAACAGUAUUUUUAAUGUUUCAUGUUUGACUGCAGCCUCACGUAAUCUCGAAUAUUUCUUACUGCAUGUGGGUGGUAGGACUUUGUCAUCCUACCAGCACCUCCACCUUCACCCCUAAGGGCUGCAUCACGAUCUUGUUACACAACCUGCAGGGCUGAUGAUGUUGAUAUGAUGCCAACCACAGAAUUGUUGAAAGAUGAAGAGAUAGUGUUGCUGGAGAUCCCAACUAGACUGCCCUAGAAUCUGCACACAAGUUAUUUAUCAAGACCGAGUUCUGUUCUACUUUUUAAAGACUUAACUAGAAUAUACUGCUGAGAUUAUUGCAGUCUCUUUACAGACCUCUGUUGAGGAUUUAUAUGUUGUAUGUAUAUACAUGUAUAUAUAUGUUUAUAUGUAUGUAUAUACAUGUUGAGCAUGUUGUUCUAGAUUUUUUUUUUUUUUUUUUUAACAACAAAAUGUAUACUUUUCUGGGCUUUUAUCCAGUCUGAGGCUCGUAUUUAAAAUUUAGUUCUCACUUAUUCUUUUAGCUGUAUUUUGCUUGGUAAUCCUGGGAACAAACUGGCACCCUGACAAGGACCAACAUCACCGCAUCCAUUGGCAGUGCUGCUGUUUCUCUGGUCACCCCUCCAGCUCUGUGGAGAGCAGCCUGUCCUUGACACCAUCUCAGGAGGAAGCAGUCCACAUAUUUUGGGGCAUAAUUAUUUCCUUUCCUUUGGGCUCAAGAUCUUUCAGUCUAUUACGCCUGUUGGCAGAAAGUAAAUAAGGUAACUUUGUUUUUUCAGGCGAGAUAUCAAUCUGCUACUUGCUGUAGUUCUAGAUAUUAUCCUGCCCUAGGGAGAGGCAGGCACUCCACAACUCUCUGCAGUUCUAAACUCUUUGAAAAGUGCUGUCCCCUUCAUGUUUGCCCUCAUCAACUGUUUCAGUUUUUCUCAUUUCAAAAAGCAAACUGCAGCAGAUAACCCUCUUCACUCUUUUUGUUGUCCCAGAUUUUGACGCCAGCUAAUCUUCUGUUAGCUUCCUGAACCAUCUGGCCCUUAAAUACUUAUGUUUUCAAGGUUUUUUAGCAGUUGCUACCUUAAACUUCAAUGCUGCUGGAUGUUCAUGUGUAUUCUCAAACCAAGCUUCCACCCACUGUGAUUUGGAAAAGUCCUUUACAUAUGUAUGACACCAUCAGGGGACUGCAUGGCAGAAACCAAACUACUUACUUAGAGUAAAAAGCAUUUCAAUAGGUUUUAAGAAAAUCUUUGUAAAGGCUUAGCAUGAAGGCAGGAUAAUCUUGUGACUAAUAAUAUAUUAAACUCGUAAAAUUUGUUGAGCAGCAGAACUUGCUAUGGUCUACCAUAAGGAAGGAAAUGAAUGGUUUGAGUCUGUUAAUAGUAAAGACUCUUUAUCCCUCCACCCAUAGGCAUACAUACAUCUUACUUGUACUACUACUACACAUCCUAGACCAAACAUGAGAACUGUAAUACUUUAGGGAGCUAAACAUGUAAAACUCCCACAACAGAAUCAGGUUCUGGGAAGGAGCUGGCUAAUGAACAAUAAAUAAUAUCAGAAGACUAUGUACUUAAUAAAAAGGAUUAAAAAACAGCAAAAAAUCUAACCCUUAUCUGAGAAAGCUGUUGAUUUUGUACACUAGAUGAACGAUGGUCCAGUUGUAAAGGCUAGCCAUACACCAGCCAAACCAAAGUUGCCCAGGCAAAUGUAGUUCUGUAUUUCCUCACUUUUGAAUGCUUUAUUUUACAGCAUUAGAGCUCUUCAGUUUAAAGUUUCUCUGUAUAUGUUGUAUCUUCAUACAUCCGCAUACAAGACUUAAUGGAAUCCUUUUCAAUGUUAAGCCAUCUGGGACAUGGUGCUAUGGAAGUUGGGAGUAAAAGGAAUUCAAAUACCUGUUCUGGUAAAAGUACAGUCCAAGAGUUGUUUCUUAAUAAGCCUGAAGAAGAAAAAACCCCACAGAAUUGGAGUUAAGAUAAUCCGUGGCAUCUGAUACCUGCAGUGGAGGGAAAUGGUUGAGCUGCAUAGAAGCCGAUGACUCAGUGGAGUCAGGGGCACCUGCACUGACAACCUCCUGGGAGUAUCCAAAACAGAAAUUAAAACCUGUAACAAAUCUGAAACUGUAUCAACAAUGAAAAAAAUAGUAUGUCUUUUUUCUUUAACUACAGAAAUAUGAGUUCUAAUUGAGAAUAUCAGCAAAAA